UUUUCCCGAAAUAAGAAGAGCUAACCUAUAAAAGUUUUUUAGAUGAGAAUUUAAAUUAUAGCAAAUAAUUUAAGUAUAUUAUAGUUUAGGGGUGAAAGGCUUACAAUUCUUAUUAUAUCUGGAUAAAAUUUAAAUGUAUUUAGUACAGAAGACAUAAUUUAAGUGGUAAGAUUUAAAUUGAAGAAUACUUUUAAUAUUAAAAAAUUUUAUAGAUUAAUUCUCUUUAUUACUGUAAAACUUAAUAUUAAUUUUAAGAUGAGUUUCUUUUUUGGAUUUUAAGAAAAAUCAAUUUUCUUUUGUUUAUAUAUUGUUUAAAUUAGUAAGUUUUAAUAAAUUAUAAAAAGGAACUCGGCUUAUAUACUUUUCAACUGUUUACCAAAAACAUAGCUUGAUGAAAUAAAUAUUUAAGUUUUUCCUGCCCGGUGAUAAUUUUAACGGCCGCAGUACUUUGACUGUGCUAAGGUAGCAUAAUAACUUGGCUUUUAAUUGAAGUCUGGGAUCAAAGGAUUUAUGGGGAGUAUCUGUCUCUUUGUAAAUUUAUUGAAUUUACUUAAAAGGUGAAAAUGCCUUUAUUUACCUAUUAGACAAGAAGACCCUUAGAGUUUAAUUUUUUUGUUGGGGCAACAAAGUAGCAAAUUUAACCUACUUAAUUUACAAGUCGAGAAUUUUAAGGAAUGAAUAAACUACCUAAGGGAUAACAGCUUAAUUAAAUUUUUGUUUGUGACCUCGAUGUUGGAUUAAGAAGAUUUUUUACUAGACGUAAAUAAUUUUAAGUUCUGUUCGAACUAUUAUUUCUUACAUGAUCUGAGUUCAGACCGGCGUGAGCCAGGUCAGAUUCUAUCUU
rnacentral:rRNA from 1 species